rnacentral:rRNA from 1 species
UGGGGAAUCUUGCACAAUGGAGGAAACUCUGAUGCAGCGACGCCGCGUGAGCGAAGAAGCCUUUCGGGGUGUAAAGCUCUUACGCCAGGGACGAUAAUGACGGUACCUGGAGAAGCAGCUGCGGCUAACUACGAGCCAGCAGCCGCGGUAAUACGUAGGCAGCAAGCGUUGUUCGGAAUUACUGGGCGUAAAGGGUGCGUAGGCGGCGCUCUAAGUUUGGUGUGAAAUCUCCCGGCUUAACUGGGAGGGUGCACUGAAAACUGGGGCGCUCGAGUAUGGGAGAGGAAAGCGGAAUUCCUGGUGUAGCGGUGAAAUGCGUAGAGAUCAGGAGGAACACCUGCGGUGCAGACGGCUUUCUGGACCAUCACUGACGCUGAGGCACGAAAGCGUGGGUAGCAAACA